GCAGGAUAGCUCAGUUAGUAGAGCGUGAGACUCAAACUCAGGGUCAUGGGUUCAAGCCCCACAAGGGGCA